rnacentral:rRNA from 1 species
CCUACGGGAGGCAGCAGUGAGGAAUAUUGGUCAAUGGGCGAGAGCCUGAACCAGCAACGUAGCGUGAAGGAUGAAUGCCCUCCGGGUUGUAAACUUCUUUUAUAAAGGAAUAAAGUGAGGCACGUGUGCCUUUUUGUAUGUACUUUAUGAAUAAGGAUCGGCUAACUCCGUGCCAGCAGCCGCGGUAAUACGGAGGAUCCGAGCGUUAUCCGGAUUUAUUGGGUUUAAAGGGAGCGUAGAUGGGUUGUUAAGUCAGUUGUGAAAGUUUGCGGCUCAACCGUAAAAUUGCAAUUGAUACUGGCAGCCUUGAGUACAGUUGAGGUAGGCGGAAUUCGUGGUGUAGCGGUGAAAUGCUUAGAGAUCACGAAGAACUCCGAUUGCGAAGGCAGCUUACUAAACUGCCACUGACAUUGAUGCGCGAAAGUGUGGGUAUCAAACAGGAUUAGAUACCCGAGUAGUC